rnacentral:lncRNA from 1 species
UCUUUUGUGGUAUUUCUGGAUCCUUACCAAGGCAGUGAUGGUAAAUGCCUUCUCUCAAAAUAUGUAGUAUUUGUGGUAUAAGGCAUAGUGACAUUGCCUUCUCUCUCAUCCUACUCUAAUAAGGCUUUGAUAUCUGGAGCUCAUAGGUGGGAGAUAGAAUAUACAUACUUACAAGACAUUUAUUGCAUAGUCAAACCAUGGAUCCAGAGAAACAAGUCAAUAAGUCAAAUCAAGAUGUACAUGUAUGGCGAAUGAAUGGUGUAUGGUGAUGAUGGUGAUAACAAUGGUGAAAGUCUAAUUCUACUUGUUGCUCUUUUGAGGGGAUACAUACCUUUCUUGCUCUUUGAAACUUUUGAGGAGAAUGAGAUGCUCUAUAUUUUCUUUUUCUUUUUUCUCAGAUGGGUAUCUUGUACGCCUAAUUCUACUGUCGCACACUUGUCCAUUUUUACCUCUCGUCUCACUUUUUCAUUUCUUUCGAGGUUCCGGGCACUUGCCCCUUUUUAUUUCCUCGUAUUUUUUUCUUUUUUUAGAGCACUCAUCUCCUAAAAUAAUAUAGCAAGUGGUAGUAACCAAGAUAACUUGAGCAUUUAUUUCACAGGGGAAAAACAGAAAUGUUUGUGGCUAUUCUCUCCCGGAUUAGGAGUAGAAUAUUUUUGGGUGGUUCUGGAGAUGGAAAUGAGUGGAUAUAUAUGGAUACGUACUUCCGGAGUAGAAGCAGCAUGUGUGAGUGAACGUGCAAGUGAAUCUUGAUUUAACCACAUGACAAGCUCCUAAGGGUCUACACAGCUUGACCACACUCAAUGCUCAUAAGUGUUGACGGUCCUUAAGUAUCAAAUUUAAUUAUCAAAUAAACAAAGAAAAGGAUCCAAAUGAAAUCAACAUCUAGACUUAGGGUUUUAUUUGACAGAAUUCCACGAGUUUUGGUGUUUGUCUAUUUCUGCAGGGGGUUAUCAGGAAAUAAUAAAGAAAGGCCCACAUGUCGGGAUUACAAAGAGAUAUCAACCCACCGCGCAAUUUUCUACCAUCUAGAAGACUCCAGAAGCCACGGGAAGGAAGCGGAGCCCGAAAGGGGCCAGGCCCAGGGCGCCCGCCCUGAGGACCUGGGCGCGCGCCCCCCUCUGGACUCCGUUCCGGACUCUCUUCGCACACGACGUUCCACCGACCUAUUGGAUCCAGAAUAACAUAGUACCACCUCGCCUAUCGACCCAAAAACGCAUAGAAGGGGAGGACUAUAUAAGGAGACCCCCUCUGGCCCUGGAGGAGACAAGAAAUUAUCAUAGAGAUUGAGGGGUGCCCUCGAAGGAAAACCUCUUCUCUAAAUAAUAUUUCUUUUUAGGCUUAGCAACCAAUGUAAAGUAGAAAUAGAUCUUCUAGUUUCUACUAGAUUGAGAGAGAUAGAGUGGAGGUGUGGAUCGGAGGAAGGCCGGCCUGUCGGUGUCUACUCCGAGUUGUACCUACGGGAUCAAGUCUCCUAACCCGAGGCUUGCUUCUAAGAUUCUUCAGUAAUUCGACAUCUAAUACUAGUAAGUUCUUGUUUUAUUGUUCUUUGGUUUAUGAGUUUACUUUAAUCCUCAUCCGGUUGAGUAUUAGAGUAAUCAUUGCUGGCGUAAACGUGGUGUUUAGGCUAGGGUACUCAUAGAUAUCCCCUGACUAGCUGGACCGUGGUAGUAGCGAGGAACGUGACAUUUCCGAGUUACCUUUGUAGAUCACAUCUCGUUAGCAGGACGGGUAGGUUUAUAGGUGCGGGUCGAACAUCCUUUGUGUUGUCUAGAUUCCGUGAGCCUCCCCAAUAGAAUAGUAGAUCAUCCUUACCAAGAUUAGAACGAGACUACGGUUGCAGUCUUCUCUAUACAUCACUCACAUCGAGAGACAUUCUUUGUAGCCUAAAGGGAUAGUAGCAAUAGAUUUGGUUAGUCAGAUGCACCCUUUCUCCCAGUGGUAAAAAUAUAAAUACGAUACUCUGGAAAACCUCCCGGGUGAAAUGCUCACCGAUAUCCGUGCGCUUGCGGAUCAUUUCCUUAUUGCGUUACUAAAUAUCAACAAGCAUUUCUGGCGCCGUUGCCGGGGAGAAAGACGGUUUGCUGAGAUAACUUUGAGUCUUGCUAUUAUCUUGUAUUAUACUUUUAUACUUUUAUUCUUUUAUCUUUUUAUUUUUAUCUUUAUGGAUAACUCAAAUUCCAUACUUAUUAUUAAAUUUUUUGCACCUUCGGAGACCAGCCAUAGACCAUGGGAGUCAACACGUCCUGCCCCUAAUUAUGAUCUGUGUCCGGAGUUGAUUGCAAUAGGUCAAAACCAACCCUUUUCUAUAGCUGAGGUCCUAUCUUUUAAUCAAGAAGAUAAUGCACUUUUAGCUACACCUAGGGAAUCUGUUAAUCUUUCUAUAAAUUCUGGUUUAGACCUAGCCCUACAAGACCAUAUUUUUCCUAAAUAUUUUCACAUUGGUCUUAAUCAUAUAACCUUUGGUAGAGUCUUUCUUUCUUUAUCUAUUAGUAAAGGAAGGUAUGUCUUCAUUUGUGGACAUCCUUCUUUCACUAGUCUUCAUAGAAAAAUCUUAGAGAUAGAGAAGGAAUCAUCUCCCAGACGAGGAAAGGAAGUUUCCAUAGCCAAUUUCCAAACAUUUCAAUCCCAUAAUUCGGCUAUCCAUCCCAUCCUUGAGCUUAAUAGUUUCUACUAUGCUCUUUCUCUUGAACCUCCCGAUAAUCCUAUGAAUCUAUCUAGACAUCUCAUGCAUAAGGAGGAUCGAGAAGAGCAACAUCGAUGGCUAGAGGGCAUUAAAAAUCCAUGUGCUAUCACCAUUGAAUGGAUAGAUAAAACAAACUUGAGAGACAAUCCUAGAGGAAUUUUAAGCAUUCAUGAAGAAUCAUCCUUGGAGUUUGAGAAUGAGAGAAACAACAGUGAGCAUGGAAGUUAUUUCAUAAAUACCUCACCCAGUCCUUGCUCAUAUAAAACAUCUGUCCAAUCAAUUGGUCUCUCCAUCCUUAUCACAUUUGAGAUCUCCAACCCCCUCUUCUUUUAUAUUUAUAACAACUUUAAAAGAGCGGUUGUCGAUGCAUAUGUCUAUAAUAGAUAUUGCAGAUCUCGUUGAGUUAAUCUUGAUAUAGGUAGGUGUUGGAGGGGAAACCACUUCACCAACAUAACUUGAUGGUUUCCCAAGGAUAAGCUUAGCAUCCUUAAACAAGCACUUAUCAGAUCAUAACAUGAAAUUCUAAUUAUUUGCAACAUUGCCUUGUGUAUUGAGCAUAUUGAGAUAAUUGUAGAAAUAUUCCUUCGGGUAUUCUUGCCACUAACCUUUCCAGGAUUGGAGCAAGAAGAUCCGAGGAAUGACAAGCGCAAGGUAUGCCCAACCAAUCAUCAUGCAACAUUGAAUUAAAUUCAUCCAAUCUUGAAUUUUGCAAAAUUCAAGCUUGGGGGAGUACUUUACAUAAAAACAUCAUUUGCCAUGUUGCUAUGUUGGUUGCCCUUACCUUUGAGACAUGCUCAAUUUGUUAAAUACUAAUCACACUACUUCAUAUUCACUUGAGUAGAUCUCUAUAAAUGCCAUCAUGCUACCUAUGUUUAUCUUAAGUAAGUGUUGGUUUGGAAGUACUGCACAUACUUCUAUUGUCUUUUAAAUUAAGCAUGGUGCUUAGGUUAAACAGCCUUCCUUAAUCUGAUUAGACAUGGAGUCUAGUUCGAUUAUUGAACUAAAAACUGCUUGUGUAGACAUUGGUAUAUUUUGUUGGACUAACCCCUGCAGGAAAACUUUCAAUAUCAACCUGGGAAGUCCUAAGAUACAAACUCACUGGAGACAAAGGAGACACAUGAAGUUUAACAAUUUGCACAAGAAGGACAUAGCUCAUUCAUCAUAAAGAGAUGAUCUAUGGAGGGUGCCACAAACACGAUGCACAACCGCUAAGAAAGGAAAGCUUCCACAAGCUAGGUGAUACUAUACCAUCACUCUUCAAGUAAGGUGACAUCUUAAGGUACUUGAUUAUCGCUUUUAUAAGUUUUUCCUUUGUUCUGGCAUUCACUUAAAAUAAAGAGACAAACAUGUAUGAUUUAUAACUCCAGAUUAACCAACUCAAUUAAUUCAACAUGUUUAGUCCUUUAAUCUUUGUUCUUAGUACUACCUUCGUGAUCCCACACUCCUAAUCAUAUAAGCUAAAAUGUUGCACAUUUAAAUCUUUGGAAGAUAUAAACAAAACAUAAAUAUAGAUAGAUUAUCUUUCCAUUAGGUUGAGCCAUCUGAUCUAACAAAUGUUUUAAAUGCUACACUCAUGAUCCAUCAACUUUGUCUUGCUCACUAUGCUUAAGGUUAGAGAAGAACAAAUACACUUUUGGUUCUGUUGGUGUUUUCCACCAACAGGGCCCAUGCACUUGAUCUCUGCCUUGUCUCUAUGAGCAGAUACAAUUCAAGCAAAACAUGGAGGAGUUUUACAACUCCCAGAUUCCACCAAGUGAAGAACCGGGAUCUACGAGCACAAACACAAUGGAGAUCACACACUUAGUUUCCCAAAGGAAAUAUUGAAGAACCUCUGCAUCCGAGUUGGUACCUUGUACGCUCUAGUAGACGUCGUGGUGAUAGAGACUGGUACUGAGGAGAGGGCACCCAUCAUCUUAGGGAGGCCAUUCCUAAACACCAGAGCUGUCAUAUACGUUAAUACUGCCAAGUUCAGUUUCUACAUCAAGGGGAAGAAGGAGACUUUCCUUCAAGAACAAGACUACACAAAUUUUAGAGCAAUCCCGACAUGAACCAAGGAAGAGGACCAACAGGAGGAACAGGAACAAGCAAAUGUGGACCGAGUCAGCUAAGAUGGUCACUACAGUUCAGAGGAGGUCAAAAUCAUCGACUCAAGUCGCCCUUCCUGAUCAAGAAGGACGACCCUGAUGUUCCAAGCAUUGAGUGCACAAUCAACAGAUAAUCUUUUCAGAAGACACUCUACAACAUCGGAUCUAACGACAACAUAAUGGCCGCAGUCACUUAUCAGCUCCUGCAUGGAACCAUGCCCCUACAACCAAUAUAUAUUCAGCUCCAGAUGAUUUUCAGAUCAUUGACAUGGGAGAAGACGAGUACGAUCCACCCAUCAUCCUUGGAAGACCGUUCCUCAACACUAUCAAAGCCAUCAUCUAUAUUGGAACCAGAGAAGUCCACAUGCACUUCCCCUCUGAGAAGGUACGCUGCUAUUUUACUCACCUUAACUAUAUAGUUGAAGACUCUAAACAAGUCAGGACAAGAAGAAGACGACGCAACCGCAACCAGAGGAGGCAAAUCAUCAAGGACGGAUGGGCAGACUACAAAGGAGAAGUGAUAAGGUCUGAAGACAUAUAUCUCGAACAGAACUGUCCUGAGGAGACCGUAGCACCGAGUCAGGUGUGGAGAGAGAAGAUAGUUAUACACGAAGAAGAGGCGCCGCCGGAAUCACCGACUACGCCACCCAGCAAAUCCCAAGACGAUUAAGAAAACACAAGGAGUCCCGUUCGGAGGACUUAAAAACACCGAACGCCUUGCCAAGAGGUAAACUUGGUAGUUAUCUUUUUCCUUUCAAUUAUUCAAUUAUAGUUUGCUUAGUUAAUCAGGUUCAUGCUAUCUUGAAAAGAAAAUAAAAAUGUUAAAAAAAUAGUAAGCCCCAUGUGAGUAUGCUCAUGGCAUAAAACCCAUAAGUACAUUCACCGUGGUGGCAUAAAAAUAAAAUAAAUAAGUUUUCAUCUUACAAUAAAAAUAUAAAAAUAAUAAGUGCAUGAUCCUGCUAAAUAAGUAAUAUUUAUUGAGAAGACUCAACAUGAUAAAGGCUAGAUAUUUAUGCUAACACUUAACCAGUUCCACAAAGCUUUGUUGUCUAUUUGAGCUCUACAGAAUUUAAGAACGACUAGCAGACGGAGGACAUCCUAAUCGCUGUCAGAGUGCUGCCGACUUUCAAAUACACCUCCAUCACCUGCUAGCUACAUGAGGAGAAAUUACGUCAAAAUCCAGCUUGGGGGAGAGCACCACCAUUUAUCCAGCUAAGUGUUUCUACUCGCGUUUAUACUUUACACAAAUAAUAAAAGAUGCAUAAUCAUGAAAAACCCAAAUAAAGAUUUUGUGCUUUUAUAUAUAUAUAUCUUUGCUUAGUUUGCUAAAUAAAUAAAUAAAUAAAGUUUGCUAUGAACCCUCAUGAUAAACUCUCACAUGGAAAUGAUGAAUAGUUGCUCUGCCACGACUAGUUCUUAAAAUUGAAAUCUCUCUCAAGUUUAGGCAUGACUGUUAUGAAGUAAGAUUUGCUCUAAACCUGAACUUGUGGGAAGAGUACUUGAUCUAAAGUCUAAGUCGUUAACGGAUACGAUAUGGGAAGGUUGAGCUGCUGUUCAUCUGUUCCUAGAGUUGCUAGAAUUCUGGAAAAUUUUAUCUUUGAAAAAUCUUUAAAAUAACACAUGAUGAGUUCCUGUAUGAUGAGAGUUUAAAUUCCUACCACAGCCAUAUAUACAUGCUUGCUAGACCUUGAGCCACACAUUUACUAUUUACUGCUUAUGAGCAUUGAGUGUGGUCAAGCUGUGUAGACCCUUAGGAGCUUGUCAUGUGGUUAAAUCAAGAUUCACUUGCACGUUCACUCAUACAUGCUACUUCUACUCCGGAAGUACCAUCCACAUAUAUCCACUCAUUUCCGUCUCCAAAACCACCCAAAAGUAUUCUACUCCUAAUCCGGGAGAGAAUAACCAAAAAUAUUUCUGUUUCCCCUUGUGAAAUAAAUGCUCAAGUUAUCUUGUUACUACCACUUGCUAUAUUAUCUCAAGAGAUGAAUGCUCUGAAAAAAAAGAGAGAAAAAGAAAAUAAAAGAUACGAGGAAAUAAAAAGGAGCAAGUGCUCGGAACCUCGAAAGAAAAGAAAAAGAAGAGCAUCUCAUUCUCCUCAUAAAGUUUCAAAAGCAAGGAAGGUAUGUAUCCCCUCAAAGAGCAAAGUAGAAUUAGGCUUCCACCACCAUUGUUAUCACCAUCAUCAACAUACACCAUUCAUUCGCCACACAUGCACAUCUUGAUUUGGCUUAUUGAUUUGUUUCUUUGGAUCCAUGGUUUGACUAUGCAAUAAAUGUCUUGUAAGUAUGUAUACUUUAUCUCCCACCUAUGAGCUCCAGAUAUUAAAGCCUUAUAAGAGUAGGGUGAGAGAGAAGACAUUGUCACUAUGCUUCAUACCACAAAUACUACAUAUCUUGAGAGAAGGCAUAUACCAUCACUGCCUUGGUAAGGAUCCAAAAAUACCACAAAAGAGAGACCUGAGAGAAUCAUACAAGGAAUUUCUGAGUUUUAUUUGAAAAUCUGCAAAAACCCCAGAGCUAUAGCUGAUCAAGAAUAAGAGACAUGGCACUUGGCUAGACUGUUCUAUCUUUUAACCACUCAAGACAGAAGUGACGGUUACAAGUCCUAUGGUGUAGGUAAAGUAAGUAAGUUUUAAGUCUUAACAGUUUAUUCUAACACAGAGAUGAGAUCUUGCUUAAAUACGUGUGUACUUCUAAGAAAUGAAACCACUGCAGAAACUCUUGAGUUCAUCCUUGCUCAGGGACGAGCAAGAGGUAAGCUUGGGGGAGUUUGUUGACGGUCCUUAAGUAUCAAAUUUAAUUAUCAAAUAAACAAAGAAAAGGAUCCAAAUGAAAUCAACAUCUAGACUUAGGGUUUUAUCUGACAGAAUUCCACGAGUUUUGGUGUUUGUCUAUUUCUGCAGGGGGUUAUCAGGAAAUAAGGAAGAAAGGCCCACAUGUCGGGAUUACAUAGAGAUAUCAACCCACCGCGCAAUUUUCUACCAUCUAGAAGACUCCAGAAGCCACGGGAAGGAAGCGGAGCCCGAAAGGGGCCAGGCCCAGGGCGCCCGCCCUGAGGACCUGGGCGCCCGCCCCCCUCUGGACUCCGUUCCGGACUCUCUUCGCACACGACGUUCCACCGACCUAUUGGAUCCAGAAUAAUAUAGUACCACUUCGCCUAUCGACCCAAAAACGCAUAGAAGGGGAGGACUAUAUAAGGAGACCCCCUCUGGCCCUGGAGGAGACAAGAAAUUAUCAUAGAGAUUGAGGGGUUCCCUCGAAGGAAAACCUCUUCUCUAAAUAAUAUUUCUUUUUAGGCUUAGCAACCAAUGUAAAGUAGAAAUAGAUCUUCUAGUUUCUACUAGAUUGAGAGAGAUAGAGUGGAGGUGUGGAUCGGAGGAAGGCCG